rnacentral:rRNA from 1 species
CUACGGGAGGCAGCAGUGGGGAAUAUUGGACAAUGGGGGCAACCCUGAUCCAGCCAUGCCGCGUGAGUGAUGAAGGCCCUAGGGUUGUAAAGCUCUUUUGUGCGGGAAGAUAAUGACGGUACCGCAAGAAUAAGCCCCGGCUAACUUCGUGCCAGCAGCCGCGGUAAUACGAAGGGGGCUAGCGUUGCUCGGAAUCACUGGGCGUAAAGGGUGCGUAGGCGGGUUUUUAAGUCAGGGGUGAAAUCCUGGAGCUCAACUCCAGAACUGCCUUUGAUACUGGAAGGCUCGAGUUCGGGAGAGGUGAGUGGAACUGCGAGUGUAGAGGUGAAAUUCGUAGAUAUUCGCAAGAACACCAGUGGCGAAGGCGGCUCACUGGCCCGAUACUGACGCUGAGGUGCGAAAGCGUGGGGAGCAAACAGGAUUAGAAACCCGUGUAGUCC